rnacentral:lncRNA from 1 species
CUAACCUUCCUAACUUAACCCCACACAGGCAGAGGCUCCUUCCAACCCAAGAAAACCACUAAACGACGACGCUUUAAGGCUAUUGCUGCAGCUGCUACCUACAUACACAUACACUUUAGCUGACAAAGAAAAGUCAGUGUAGCUCUGCGAUUCCAAAUUCGCAAAUCGCAACCGAUUUAUGAUCCAUCUCUCCGAUUCCACAUAGAGAGAGAGAGAGAGAGAGAGAUGUGGGUGUUUUACCUGAUCUCGCUCCCUCUAACCACGGGCAUGGUGCUUUUCACGCUUAGGUACUUCGCCGGUCCCUAUGUGCCUCGCUACGUGCUCUUCACCGUU